rnacentral:rRNA from 1 species
CCUACGGGGAGCAGCAGUGGGGAAUAUUGGACAAUGGGCGAAAGCCUGAUCCAGCCAUGCCGCGUGUGUGAAGAAGGCCUUCGGGUUGUAAAGCACUUUCAGUGGGGAAGAAAGCCUUGGGGCUAAUACCCUCGAGGAAGGACAUCACCCACAGAAGAAGCACCGGCUAACUCCGUGCCAGCAGCCGCGGUAAUACGGAGGGUGCGAGCGUUAAUCGGAAUUACUGGGCGUAAAGCGCGCGUAGGCGGUCUGAUAAGCCGGUUGUGAAAGCCCCGGGCUCAACCUGGGAACGGCAUCCGGAACUGUCAGGCUAGAGUGCAGGAGAGGAAGGUAGAAUUCCCGGUGUAGCGGUGAAAUGCGUAGAGAUCGGGAGGAAUACCAGUGGCGAAGGCGGCCUUCUGGACUGACACUGACGCUGAGGUGCGAAAGCGUGGGUAGCAAACAGGAUUAGAUACCCCGGUAGUC